AUAAUGAUACUCCUGCUUAUAAUUAAGUAGCUUGGAAGAUAAUUCGAAGAGGUGAAACUCCUGUGA
rfam:Clostridium sp. CAG:1000 genomic scaffold, scf32